UGCGAAGGGAGACACCGACGCUGGACAUGAAGCUGUGGCGGUAACUUCUACAGCUGCCCCGGCAACGAAGAAGGUCAAAUCCGCGGGAAAAGCGUCCUUUCGGGUGAAAAUCGAGCACUGCAAGAGCUGACGCGUGUACAAGCGCAAUGCUGACCAGCUGGCCGAGGCAUUGCGGGCGGAGUUUCCUGACGUCACCGUGGAGACCACAGUCGGACGCAGGAACAGCUUUGAGUGCACCGUUGUGAAGGAUGAUGGGAAGGAAAUGUUAGUGUGGACAGGGAUAAAGAAGGGUCCACCUCGUAAGCUGAAGUUCCCUGAACCUAGUGUGGUGGUGGAAGCAAUCAACAAGGACCUAUAAAUGCUCAAAAAGUCAGGCACUUCAUGACAGACUGACUUUGACCCACGUCUGGUCGAGCGCCGAUGACGGGAGCGGCAGAAAGGUUCCCCCUGGCUUCUCCCCGAUGAUCAGCUCACCAAACCUGGCUCACCUUCACUCUGUUGCUGUUCUGGACUGUUCUUUUGUACCCUGUUCUUGUACCCUGUACCCAUAGUGUAGUUUAAGCACAUAGAACUAGUAAAAAAGUUAUAACGUUAUAUAUUAACAGAUCCAACUAUCUAUUUUCAUAUAUUUUGUAACCACAACUGACCAAGAGAAAGAUUUCUGUAGAUUUUCUCUAGAUAACUUUUGUAGCACUAGUCAAGAUCAUGUGACAUGUUUCAUGGUUUCGUAAUGUAAAUGUUAUGUAGAUCUAACAUGAAGUUUAACUGUUAGCUGAUAGACUUAAAGCUCACAAACUGCCAUAUUUACUACAGUGCACGGUAUACAUGGACAUGUUCACCAUGUCUCCAUGCUUGGAAGGGUUUUCCCUGUUUAAGAUCAUACCGGUAUAACUGUUAAUAAACUUAUAUUUUGUCAUGUGGAAAUGCAAAUAAAGCAUGUUCUACUCUCAA